GUCAGUACUCUGCUUCAACAGAAAUGGAGUGCUCGAGUAAGAAUUUUAGUGAGUUUCAAGAUAGAGUUUAGAGCUUAGAGAAGAACGUAUCUGAGGAUCCUUUUUUAUAGACAAAAAGCGUAACUGACUGACAGCGACGUCUGUAACCGUCUGGUAGUGGGCCGUUCAGAGCCGCGUAGAGUUUGUUACGGAAAGUAGUG
rnacentral:lncRNA from 1 species